GACGAACCGAGCGAACGUUGUUCGGAAUCACUGGGCUUAAAGGGCGCGUAGGCGGGCUGCCAAGUCUGGGGUGAAAUCCCACGGCUCAACCGUGGAACUGCCUCGGAUACUGGCGGCCUCGAGGGAGGUAGGGGCGUGCGGAACUGUGGGUGGAGCGGUGAAAUGCGUUGAUAUCCACAGGAACUCCGGUGGCGAAGGCGGCACGCUGGACCUUUUCUGACGCUGAGGCGCGAAAGCCAGGGGAGCAAACGGG
rnacentral:rRNA from 1 species